GUGCGGCUUUUAGUGGCUUGUACCACUUGGUCUACCAGCUGAGCCAAGACAUGAACGCUUUGACAAGUUCAUUUGGCCGGAUGGAGACCACCAUGACAAGUAUUCUUCCGUUGGGGUCCGACGAUAAGCUCGAAGAGGCCGUUGCCAAUCAGACGGGACGUUUGGUGGAGGCCGUUCGCAAGGCCCUUCAAUAUUAGCGGAUAGCGAAGAGGCGAAAGGAUACUUAAUCCAGAGCAUACGGGAGCGCAUUGAGGACACCGUCCACCAUCAAAUCGGCGAGCAAGCAGCAAGUUGGUUGGUGUGUAUUAUGGUAACCUUGGCAGAUAUUUACAUGAAAUAUGUAUAGGGCUUUGAGUUUAGACCUGAUUGGGUUCCGCCGGAGUGAAUACACCUUGACCUAGUACCGGGCUUGUUUUAAGGCUGGGACCGUAAGGCCACCACCCGCGUUCGUCGGGUUCGAGAACGCGAGCUCCGAUUUGGUUGAGCGGGGUUGGUUUCCGCAGUUGGUUCUCGCCUGGGGGAGUGGUCUCGGUACUCGGCUAUUUGGAGUGGCGGAGUGGAUCGCACAGCAACAUUGGAAGGGGGUGCAAACGUGACCAUCGGCAUCAUUUGUGGAGCGUGAGACCGUUGCUUGGGCAAGUAACACUUACGCCAGCAGCAGCGUCCUAAACAGCACAGCAUUGUCACCAGUAGCGCCAAAACGAUAACCGUUACCAGUGUGCCCGCGUGAGGGGCCACUCGGUUGUUGUGCAUGAAGUGAGUUACUGCAUUCUGAUUCACUUCAGCUUCUAUUUCACUCAAAUGCGAUUUAAAUUGGUUAAGAGGCAUGGAGAGAUGAGAAGAUUUAUCUAGGGCGGAUUUAAUCUGUUUGAUAAU